AGGCCACCCUACUCUUCCCUGGGGGUUUGUGAGACCCAAGUGGGGAAUUUUAGGACAAUGGGGGGGAUUCCCUAAUUUCCCCCAAUCCCCGCCUUGUGGAUGAAGACAACACCGGGUUGGACAAGCCCCUCUCGACAGGCAAGGAACGGAGGGGGUGUAAACACCACACCCAUACUGGCUGGUACCUGGCAGACUAAGCCCCCGGCUUUGUUAUUUUCUAUCAGUCCGCGGUAUUCACGCGCGGGCAAGGGGUACUCGGGAGUUUUGGGGGGACUGCGAGAGUAGGGUGGUAGGUUUAAGUUCUUGUGAAAGCCCUUGGGGUAAACUGGGAAUUGCCAGUGGAUAUUUGGUCACUUAGAGAGUGGUAGAGGGGUAAUGGAUUUCUCGUUGCAGCAGAGAAAUGGUAGAGAUCGGGAUGUACAUCCAUGUUGAAGGCAUCCUCCUGGUCCAACGAUGACACUGAGGCAUGAAAGCGUCGUGAACGAACAGGAUUUGCUACCCUGGUUGUCCACGCCCUAAUCGAUGUGAACUGGAUGUUGGGUGCCAUUUGUCACGCAGUAUUGAAGCUAAAGCGUUAAGUUCGCCGCCUGGGGAGUACGGUCGCAAGACUGAAACUCAAUGGAAUUGACGGGGGCCCGCACCAGCGGUGGAGUAUGUGGUUUAAUUAGAUGCAACGCGAAGAACCUUACCUGGUCUUGACAUGUCGAGAACUUUCCAGAGAUGGAUUGGUGCCUUCGGGAACUCGAACACAGGUGCUGCAUGGCUGUCGUCAGCUCGUGUCGUGAGAUGUUGGGUUAAGUCCCGCAACGAACGCAACCCUUGUCCUUAGUUGCCAGCACGUAAUGGUGGGAACUCUAAGGAGACCGCCGGUGACAAACCGGAGGAAGGUGGGGAUGACGUCAAGCCAUCAUGGCCCUUACGACCAGGGCUACACACGUACUACAAUGGUAGGGACAGAGGGCUGCAAACCCGCGAGGGCAAGCCAAUCCCAGAAACCCUAUCUCAGUCCGGAUUGGAGUCUGCAACUCGACUCCAUGAAGUCGGAAUCGCUAGUAAUCGCAGAUCAGCAUUGCUGCGGGGAAUACGUUCCCGGGCCUUGUACACACCGCCCGUCUCACCGAUGGGAGUUUGUUGUACCAGAAGCAGGUAGCUUAACCUUCGGGAGGGCGCUGCCAACGGUUGGCCGAUAAGGGGCA
rnacentral:rRNA from 1 species